rnacentral:rRNA from 1 species
GAUCCUGCAAUGCCGCGUGUGUGAAGAAGGCCUUCGGGUUGUAAAGCACUUUUGUCCGGAAAGAAAUGGCUCUGGUUAAUACCUGGGGUCGAUGACGGUACCGGAAGAAUAAGGACCGGCUAACUACGUGCCAGCAGCCGCGGUAAUACGUAGGGUCCAAGCGUUAAUCGGAAUUACUGGGCGUAAAGCGUGCGCAGGCGGUUGUGCAAGACCGAUGUGAAAUCCCCGAGCUUAACUUGGGAAUUGCAUUGGUGACUGCACGGCUAGAGUGUGUCAGAGGGGGGUAGAAUUCCACGUGUAGCAGUGAAAUGCGUAGAGAUGUGGAGGAAUACCGAUGGCGAAGGCAGCCCCCUGGGAUAACACUGACGCUCAUGCACGAAAGCGUGGGGAGCAAACAGGAUUAGAUACCCUGGUAGUCCACGCCCUAAACGAUGUCAACUAGUUGUUGGGGAUUCAUUUCCUUAGUAACGUAGCUAACGCGUGAAGUUGACCGCCUGGGGAGUACGGUCGCAAGAUUAAAACUCAAAGG